UUGCGGUGGGUGCUUUGAAGCAGAAACUGGUGCCCUUGGUGCAGACAGUGUGCGUCCAAAGACUGAGGCAGAGGAACCAGCUCCCAGACAACUUGCUCCAGCGAUUGCAUGUUCAUCUAGAACUCCAGAUGACAAGACAAGUGGCUAGCUCUGGUGCAUUGGGGGCAAAAUCGAAUUCUGUUAGUCCUUUUUGUGGGCUUGUCAAUAAUAGGAGCUAGUGCUUAUGCCUACAAGACUAUAAAAGAUGACCAAAAAAGAUAUAAUGAAAGAAUGUCAGGGUUAGGGCUGACACCAGAAGAGAAAUAGAAAAGGGCGAUAUCAUCUGCUUCAGAAGGAGAGCCAGUUCCUCAAGUCAAGGUACCAAGUCACAUUCCUUUCCUGCUAAUCAGUGGAGGCACUGCUACUUUUGCUGCAGCCAGAUCCAUCUGAGCUCGGGAUGAUUAUAUCUGAAGAUCUUGGGUACUGAUUAUAUCUGCCACACAUGCGACCUCCUCUUUCAAAAGAACUGUGGUUUUCAGAUGAUCCCAAUGUCACAAAGACACUGCGAUUCAAACAGUGGAAUGGAAAAGAGAGAAGCAUCUACUUACAGCCACCAUCCUUCUAUGUCUCUGCUCAGGACCUGCCUCACACUGAGAAUGGUGCUGUGGCUGUCCUCACUGGGAAGAAGGUAUUACAGCUGGGUGUGAGAGGCAACAUGGUGAAACUUAGUUAUGGUUCUCAAAUUACCUAUGAAAAGAGCUUGACUGCAACAGGAGGUACUCCAAGAAGUCUGCCUGCCAUUGAUAGGGCUGGAGCAGAGGUGAAGAGUAGCACAACACUUUUCAGAAAGAUUGGAGACUUCAGAAUAUUACGAUUAUUGGUGGGGGCUUCCUCGGUAGUGAACUGGCCUGUUCUCUUGGCAGAAAGGCUCGAGCCAUGGGCACAGAAGUGAUUCAGCUCUUCCCUGAGAAAGGAAAUAUAGGAAAGAUCCUCCCCGAAUACCUCAGCAACUGAACCAUGGAAAAAAUCUGAUGAGAAGGGGUUAAGGUGAUGCCUAAUGCUAUUGUGCAAUCAGUUGGAGUCAGCGGUAGCAAGUUAUUCAUCAAGUUGAAAGACUGCAGUAAGGUAGAAACGGACCACAUAGUGGCAGCUGUGGGCCUAGAGGCUAAUGCUGAGUUGGUUAAGACUGGUGGGCUGGAGAUAGACUCAGAUUUUGGUGGCUUCUGGGUAAAUGCAGAACUCCAAGCACACUCCAACAUCUGGGGGGCAGGGAUGCUGAGUGUUUCUAUGAUAUAAAGUUGGGAAAGAGGCGAGUAGAACACCAUGAUCAUGCUGUUGUAAGCGGAAGAUUGGCUGGGGAAAACUUGGAGUUGUGAAGUUGUACUGGCAUCAGUCCAUGUUCUGGAGCGAUUUGGGCCCCAAUGUUGGCUAUGAAGCUAUUGGUCUUGUGGACAAUAGUUUGCCCACAGUUGGUGUUUUUGCAAAAGCAACUGCACAAGACUACCCAAAAUCUGCACAGUCAGGGACUGGUAUCUCAUCAGAGAGUGAGACAGAGCCCAAGGUCUCAGAAAUUACUAUUCCUCCCAGCACUCCUGCAGUUCCAAAGGCUCCUGUCCAAGGGGAGGACUAUGGUAAAGGCAUCAUUUUCUACCUCAGGGACAAAGUGGUCGUGGGGAUUGUACUAUGGAACAUCUUUAACGAAAUGCCAAUAGCAAGGAAGAUCAUUAAGGAUGGUGAGCAACAUGAAGAUCUCAAUGAAGUAGCCAAACUGUUCAAGAUCCAGGAAGACUGA